AUUUAUAUAAUAUAAUCAAUUAUAUUUAAUUUCCAAUUAAAAAAUCUAAAACUUAGUAUGAAUA
rnacentral:tRNA from 1 species